rnacentral:piRNA from 1 species
UAAAUUUUAUAAGAAAAUAAUGUAGGAAAAC